GAGGUUGUGGCUCAGUGGUAGAGCGCUCACCUAGCACAUGCAAGUCCCUGGGUUUGAUCCUCAGUACCACA
rnacentral:tRNA from 1 species